UCAUGUCGUUCCAAACCUGCAUGACUUUCUUUCUUCUGUGCAACACAACAGGAGAUGUUGAGCAGAAUAGAUGAAAAACGUUUGAGU